GCGGAACUUCUUCUGAACGAGUAGAGCGGCGGACGGGUGAGUAACGCGUGGGAAAUUGCCCAGUAGUGGGGGACAACAUUCGGAAACGGAUGCUAAUACCGCAUACGCCCUACGGGGGAAAGCAGGGGAUCUUCGGACCUUGUGCUAUUGGAUAUGCCCGCGUCGGAUUAGCUAGUUGGUGAGGUAAUGGCUCACCAAGGCAACGAUCCGUAGCUGGUCUGAGAGGAUGAUCAGCCACACUGGGACUGAGACACGGCCCAGACUCCUACGGGAGGCAGCAGUGGGGAAUAUUGGACAAUGGGCGCAAGCCUGAUCCAGCCAUGCCGCGUGUGUGAAGAAGGCUCUAGGGUUGUAAAGCACUUUCAGUAGGGAGGAAGGCCUUAAAGUUAAUACCUUUGAGGAUUGACGUUACCUACAGAAGAAGCACCGGCUAACUCCGUGCCAGCAGCCGCGGUAAUACGGAGGGUGCGAGCGUUAAUCGGAAUUACUGGGCGUAAAGCGCGCGUAGGCGGUUAGUUAAGCUGGAUGUGAAAGCCCCGGGCUCAACCUGGGAACUGCAUUCAGAACUGGCUGGCUAGAGUACGAGAGAGGGUAGUGGAAUUUCCUGUGUAGCGGUGAAAUGCGUAGAUAUAGGAAGGAA
rnacentral:rRNA from 1 species